rnacentral:rRNA from 1 species
GCGUACUGGAAUACUGCGCGUAAGCGUGCGCAGGCGGCUUUGCAGACAGAUGUGAAAUCCCCGGGCUCAACCCGGGAACUGCAUUUGUGACUGCACGGCUAGAGUGCGGCAGAGGGGGAUGGAAUUCCGCGUGUAGCAGUGAAAUGCGUAGAUAUGCGGAGGAACACCGAUGGCGAAGGCAGUCCCCUGGGCCUGCACUGACGCUCAUGCACGAAAGCGUGGGGAGCAAACAGGAUUAGAUACCCUGGUAGUCCACGCCCUAAACGAUGUCAACUGGUUGUUGGACGGCUUGCUGUUCAGUAACGAAGCUAACGCGUGAAGUUGACCGCCUGGGGAGUACGGCCGCAAGGUUGAAACUCAAAGGAAUUGACGGGGACCCGCGCAAGCGGUGGAUGAUGUGGUUUUAUUCGAUGCAACGCGAAAAACCUUACCUACCCUUGACAUGCCAGGAACUUGCCAGAGAUGGCUUGGUGCUCGAAAGAGAACCUGGACACAGGUGCUGCAUGGCCGUCGUCAGCUCGUGUCGUGAGAUGUUGGGUUAAGUCCCGCAACGAGCGCAACCCUUAUCAUUAGUUGCUACGCAAGGGCACUCUAAUGAGACUGCCGGUGACAAACCGGAGGAACGUGGGGAUGACGUCAGGUCAUCAUGGCCCUUAUGGGUAGGGCUACACACGUCAUACAAUGGCCGGUACAGAGGGCUGCCAACCCGCGAGGGGGAGCUAAUCUCAGAAAACCGGUCGUAGUCCGGAUCGCAGUCUGACACUCGACUGCGUGAAGUCGGAAUCGCUAGUAAUCGCGGAUCAGCUUGCCGCGGUGAAUACGUUCCCGGGUCUUGUACACACCGACCGUCACCCCAUGGGACCGGGUCCUGCAGAAGUACUACCCCAACGAAGGGAGCGAUUACAGGCAGCGUCGUGAUGGGGUAAGUCGUACAAGUACAGG